UUCCAUCUUGCACCUAGGUGCAUUGUACCUAGGUGCUGGAUGGACGACACGUGGCUUCCACUUCAAUUCCAUUUCCUUUUAUUUUUUUCAACCAUUUAACUCAACCAAGGUUCAAAGUCGGGGCCCACACGGGAGUUAGGUUUGAUUAAUUCAAAUUUUAUACUGUAUUUCGUUUUAUUUUUAAUAUACAAUACGUUUGUGGGACCCAUUAUUAGUAAAGCAAAGCUUUCAAGAGAAGUUUCUAUUCCUCAAAAAUAUCUGGUUUCGCAUUCAAUAUAUUUUGAAUUCAACAAGUGAGUCCCAUUUUUGUUUGAAUGUAAAGAAGUUUGAGGCAAAAAUCUCCCGGCAACAUUUUUUGGGUUGUAAGAGUGAAUGCGAUUUUGUUCGUCAUUCUUAAUCACACAUCGGAGUCCGUGGCCGACAGGUUUCGCAUCCUUGCCGGAGACACCUUCGUCGGAGAUUUGGUUGUUUUUAAGCUUGCGGGAGCUGUGGUUGUGGUUAUUCGAGCAAACGAAGGAGGUGGGUCUCAUUUUAGUUUGAAUUCGACAAAUAUUGUGCGAAAAAUUGAGAUCGUCAUUUUUUUGGUGGGAAGCUUGAAGGCGACUGUGUUCGUCAUUUUUCAUCAAUCUUCACAAAGUUUGUCAGCGACUACUUUGGGAUCCUUGUCGGAGACAUCUUCCCGGCGUUUGAAUGGUUAGAGUUGGGUCCGGCGUUGUUGACACGUGUUGUUUCCUCUCCCGGUGUUUCGGCCUUUCCAGUUCCGUGGGUUCCCCUUCCAUUGCCGUUUCCCCUCCCGGCGUUGGCUCCGGCGUUUUGUAAGUCGUUUCGCCGUUCGUUAUUUCUCUUUUUCAUUCAAUUUAUUUUUUCCUUCACUUGGUGUAGUUAGAUAUUUAUAGGUUUUUUAGUUGCAAAAUGUUAUAAUAUGUUUUUUUGCUUCGAUUCGGUUUAAUUAGGCAAAUUAAUGGUGAAUCGAGCUAGAUCUAUGGGUUUUUGUUUAUUGAUUACCUAGUAUUCUAGUUAUAACUCAAUUGUUGAUUGUCGAGGAUGGUGGUGGGAAAUGUUGAGGUGCCACCCAAGAGAAAACGUUCAGCAAGGUUGAUCCUGCUGAUAAUGAUGGUGGAGAGGAUGACGAGAGGCCAGCACGUUGCCGGCGAUUCUGUUGAUCCUGUUGAAAUCUUGUCGGUAAGGUUGAUCCUGUUGAAAUCUUGUCGGUAAGCUCCGCUCCACUCAUGGAGCUGCAAAAUGUUAUUUAAAUCCAAAAACGAUGAAAAUGUUGAAUAACAUUUUGUCUAAAAUUUUUGUAGUAUUUUUACUGAAAUUUGACCUAUAUCUUCUAAGAUAUGAAAUUUGACCUUUAUAUAUCCAACAAUGCAAAUGAUUCGCGCAAGCUUCAUCACAUCUGGCAUUGCUCUUAGCUGUUAGGGCUCGAGUUGAAUGGUGCAAAUAAUCAAAGGAUUUUGACUCCAGAAUAUACUGCUGAUAUAGGUAGCUUGGACUUUUCUUUGCUUUCUCAUGUGCUGAAUGUGAUCUUCUUUAGGGAAUUCCAUCUGCAUUUUGUCAUCAAACUUGAACAAAGUCAUUGCUUUUAGUGAUCACCCUAAGUUUAGUGAUUUAUGAUAGUAGUCUGCUAAGGUUUUUGAAGGCAUUGGCUAUUAUGAGAACACAAUAAAUCAUUUUCAACUUGGAAUAGACAAUUUCAAUUUCUCCAUUGUUAGAAAUCAUUUUCUAUUCCGAAUAACUCCGACUAAUUAGUUAUACUUCUUACCUGUUGCCAAACACAUAGCAGUCCGUGAUUGAAAGUCAUGAUAUAAUGAUAAUGUAUUAACAACUUCACAUACUUAACUAUCACAUUUUUAUGUCAUUGAUGAUAUGUAGUAUGAUUUCUAGUUUAUCCGUUAAAGUAUUACUAAUUAUUUUCCACUUUCUUCUUUCCACUAUCCGUUAAAAUUCUCCAAUGAUAGGUAAUCGUUUUGGAAUCUUUGUAAUUUAAAAAUCUAACUUGUCUAAAUUUUUUUGACCAGGUAACAGUUUUAGUUUUUGCAAUAAUGAUUGCAUCUGCAGUGCUGAUAAUGACCAGCCCACUCUGAUAUAUUGCUUCGUUUCCAGAUCUUGUAGACUUGUUUGGUGUGGAUUCUCUUGAUGAGUUUCAGACGUUAAGAGGGCAAUAGACAACAAGAAAUCAGUUCCAACUUGUCAUAUUUUGAUCAUUAUUAGUCCCUUCUUUUUAUCAUUGCUUUGUAUACCAAUGCAUUUUAUCGUCAUCUAUUGUUGUAAAGAACAUGUGUGCUUCCUGAACAUAUGUUUUGUACAGAGAUCUCGUGUAAGAACAACCCUUGCUCC